rnacentral:lncRNA from 1 species
GUGGUGAUCGGGUUUUCUCUUUGUCAGAUGCCAUUUCCUUCAAAUGCUGGUUUCCGUAUACACAUAUGCUCAGCGAUUUCUUCUUUGGUGCUUCAACUUUUAUGUAUUCGUUAAAGAAAUCUAUCAAUUCUUCCUUCUUUAGCUCUCUCAGUGCAGCCACCUGAUUUACACAACAAACCCCAACUUUAGCUUGUGUUAACAUUUCUUUGAAGAAGACUCGCUAUCCGAGAAGGUUCUUAAUUCAGAGAUUGCUAGGAAUAAAUAAGUUGGCGAUAGGUGUUUUGUCUAUUAACCUCUGCAUCUUUGCGGUUGAACUUAAGCGUCCCUCUUUGAAUCUCUCCCCAAUAAAACCAGGAUUCCUCGUUCAAGUUCUUGGGUUUUUCAAGCUUCAUGUCUAUCAAAGCUGUUACGUUGCUCUGAGGAGGAGCAAGUCAUGUCAGUUAGUGGGAAUGCCUCUUUGCAACGCAAUGUUUAGUUCCAGCAAAUUAAAAUAAUAUCUCGUUGGGCCUUCUCACCUUAAAUUCCUCAUCGCUCAUCUUGAAAAGUUUACUCUCAAGAUCCUUGACUAGUGACUCGACCCUUGAAUCAAUAUGUCCAGGACCCUAUUAACAACAAACUCAAGGAGAUCAAUGCAUUAACUAGAUUGGGUUAUGCAAAGUCCGAGUGGCAGAGAGGCAAGACAGUUUGGUACCUUUACGGAAGACUGAAUAAGGAACUGUAACCCAUAGACACCAGAGUAGUUUCUGUGUCACAGAAACAUAAUUAUUUAUGGUAUCAGCGAGAACUCAGGAGCAUUCAAACGUAUGAUAAAUACUUAUGUACCUUUGAGAAAGAGAAGUGACGUAACCAAGUUGCUCGACUGUCCUAAGCUGGUGAAAAGUGGCUUGCUUUGCAACAAGUUUAAAAAGCUGAAGUUUUAUAUUCAUGGAAAACUCAUCUUGAUGAACCUGUUCUUGGCAAACAAAAAUUCAUGUUAGCAAUAAAACCAAGCUCUACAAGAAGAAACCUUUUGUACACUCACGAUGAGUCUAACUGUCUAAGUACCAAGAUCUACAAGAAAAGGUUUAUAAGACAUGCAAAAACUGGUUGAUGAGACCAAUAAAAGAUCUACUAAUCUUGUCGCAAAUAUACCUGAAUGUAAUGCACUAGAGCAGAGUUUUCAUCGUUGGGGUUUGAGCCUUCUUGAUGGUACAAGUAUUUCACCCCUGUUCCGAGCUCUACAACUCUGCUUGUCAGGAACUGGGAUGGAAGUAGAGGACGACAGAUAGGUUUUGGGUCAUUAAAGAGAACAUCUUCAAUAUGGUGGACCAUUGACUCAGCUUCGCUCUUCUCAACAUUUCCUGAAACGAGUUUCUAAUUAUUUCACUGACAUACUACAACGACGAACAGAGAAAGAAAGAAGGACCAGAAAGCAAAUAUUGUUGAGACCUGCUAUAUAGCACUCAACAAAUGUCCUCGAUAACAACAUUGGAACAAAGUUCGCCAAGUCUUGAGCUUCCAGACAAGAAAGAGCAUCUAGUUUCUCUGUCCAAGGCCAAGAGUGAUCUUGUAAUACCAUUGAGCAGUAACUCAUUGCUUGUUCAUAUGGUUUUCGGAAUUUCUUGUUUUUGUAUAACUUUGUGACAGUUUCCUAUGUAUAUAUAAACCAUAAGGAAGCAUGAAAACAUGGAGGAUUAUUCAACAAAUCUGGUACAGUGCGCCUAUUGGAUAAGAUCUACUAAUAAGGUUACCUUGAUAACAGAAAACCUAUCAGGUUUAACUUCGAAUUUUGCCAUCUUUUGAAUGAUAGCUUCCAGCAAGAUCCUCAAUUUGUGAUUAAAGCCAACAAGAUAGAGCUGGAAAUGAGAAACUGUUAGUCACACAUGAAAUUUAUUGAGCAAAAUGCACAAGGAAGCGUCAGCAUCCUUGUUCAAACGUACCUCAAAACCAUUGUCCGAAAGACUUAAUCCAUAGCGAAGACCAGCAAUAUGAGCAUAAUAAGCUGAAACAUAGAACUAUAGAUUGAUGAAACAGUAGUUUUCUUGAUGUAAUAACAAACUAAACAGGCUUAUCACCUUACUCUAGUUUUACUUCCCUCUCAUUACAACAUAUGUCAAAUGCAAUCUAAAGCAUAAGAGGUCUAUCAAAAUCAAAUCUUACCGUAUUCAUUCAAAUAGUCCUCCAGCAGCCGAACAAAAAUAUUUGAAAGAACUACAGGGUCCGGAGAGCUGAGUGCAAGGGGGCAGUUGAAAUCCAUCUUAAUAUAUGCCUUUGGUCUUAAGAACUUUGUAUCAGGCUUAUACCACAAUCUUGAGAAUGGUGUCUUUCUCAACAAAACAGGAAAGAUGUCCUGUUCCAGAUCAUUGAUUUUGUGACACUGCUCCUUACAUUAUUAUAAAAAGACAAUUGUAAAUUGUAACUAGAGUGAUGGAACUGAACCUUAUCCUUAACAUCCUUUAAUGAAAAGUCCGUAGGAAUGUAGACAUUUGGUGUUGGUAGCUGCAGCUUUACUUCAGGAGCAGACUGCACCCACUCCUGUAAAUUGUUAAGCACAAACCAAAACUGAACUUCCUCCAGAGUAAUAGAAAAAUAUUGAAUGGAUCUUUAGAAAAUUAAUACAUCAAAAGCCAACCUGAAUGGUGAAUUUGGUUAUCUUCUCAAGAGAAUAAGCAGUGUUAUACCAUGGCUCAACCUUGUCAGUUUGUCCUUCAAAUUUAUAUGAUGCCCAAAAGAUUCUACAAAAUAUAACAUCUAGCCAUGAGUAGUCAGCAUCUCGUCAGCAUUUCAAUGCUUCAACUACUUAAAUUAGAGAUCAUAUGGCUUGAUAGCAAUGGAAAUAUUUAGCACCGUCCUCGGAAUAAAUGAGACAAAUACAAUUUUAGCUUGGUUUAUAAGGCAUUUAAAUAAUACUAGGCAGCAAGGCGUUCCAGGAACAUAGAAUUACCGAACAUUUUUGGGAGAAAGCUCAUUGAGAACCUUUUCCACACUAGCUGGAUUAAAUUUCCAAGGCAGUGAUGAUCCUACCAGCCACUGUUUGGUUGGGUACUUCUGAAGCAUAAUUGGAUUAAAUGACAGGAAAGGUAUGAUAAGUAGAUUGGACAGCUGAAAAAUACUAUUACCGUCAUUUUCGAUGAAAUAUUUAUUGCAUAAGACAUUGGUUGUGUUUUGGCUUGAUAGUGAAACUCUGCCUCACAGAUAGCUGAGAGCUAUUAGCAACAAUAACAGAGAUAUCAAGCUCUAUAAGAACACUGCAUCAAUAGGAAUACAGAAGUCAUAGAAUUUGUACAGCUUAAUAAUACCAAUACCUCAUCGAAAAUCCAUUGGGAAAUACCAGACUGUUGUACGAGAUUAAUGUGUCUGAACAACAAUCCUAAAAUAUCUUGCAUAUGUUCUGUAUACCAAGUAAAGAAACAAAUCCAGAAAAUAUCAAGUACUGACUAAAACAUGAAGACACUGAAGCCAUCUUUUCAACAGUAAAAGAAAAAAAAGAUAGUUACAAGCUUCUGUAGAAUAUUAUAAAAAAAACACGAAAGAAUACAGAAACCCACCGUGGCCAGCAUCAGUAAGAGCAAUCGUAACAUUGAAGAACGAAUACUCCAUAGUCCACCCUGUUUCACCCGCAUGCAGUCUCGUUGCCCAACCUGUGGAAGUAUUAAUAAACAUAAGGCAAGAGAUUACUAAAUGCAAAACUGCUUGCUGAUACAAAGGUCUGUAUCACAAAAAUUAUGUAAACAAGCAAUUGAGCAGCUUAUGUUAACUAAACAAGCCAGAAAGAGAGAGCUAACUGAAGACUAGAAUAACAUUUCAAAACUUUCACUUUGGCCCAAAGAAAACCUACCCAAUAUUUUGAAGGCAUGAAACAAACUUCCUUCGCCUUCAUGACCAAUUAGGCGCGAAAUGUACUUGCAUGGUGCUUCUUCAUAAUGAUGUAUGCUAGGAGUUACAGGCCAUGAAACAGUAAGUUCGUGACCCUGCCUUGUGGGAACAGCCUUCACAAGAACCUAAGACCAAUGGGAAAAAAAUACCACCUUAGCAACAUUUUAGCAUGAAUUUAUCUUCAUCCAGUAUAAAAAUACAAUAACUGAAUUAAGGAGCAAAAACCUGCAAAUGGUCUAGAGUACACGGCUGACCAGGAAAUCUUGGAAUACUCUUGUCAGUGUUUCGAAUGUCCUGGAAUAACUCUUCCACUAGACCUUGAGUUUUAUCAAGGUUUUCUGAAGAGAUCCAGAGCAAUUAGAGAUGUAUAAAAUGUUAUAUAUGUUAUAUACUAUUCUUAUGUUUUCUGAAAUUAAAAGAGAUUUGAGUGGUGUGUUAGCUCCAAAACCUACCCUUGCCAUAAACAACCAGAUUCAUGAUGUUGGCAGAAUAGUGUUCAUCAUAGAAUUUAAUCAGCUCUCUCCUUAUAUCUAAUCCUUUUGUUUCGGGUUGAACAUGAAGAGUAUCCAUAUUACCUAAGCAAAAUUAUCACUUUCUUAGCGGGAGAGAAAAAAUAGGGAACGACCAUAGACUUUUCCUAUGGACAGCAGCCAACACCAAUUAAGAAUAGGUCGAACAUGAACCUGAGCCAAAUUUGUGAUAUGGAUGGUCUUCCCUACUUAAAUGCUUUUGUAGCUGUGCCAACGAAAAAGGAAGACAAAACUCAAGUGAGAUGCUAAAUACACAUCAACACAGGACUUGUGGCUUGUCAAAUAUGCAGGGGAUUAGAGAUAACUAGUACACGUUCAAAGGUGUUGAUAACGAAAUAGAUAGAUGUAAUAUUACAGUUAAUCCCUAUAAAUUUUCUUGAGAGAUAGGGAAAAUACCUGGCGCAUACGCCUAGAAUCAGACAACAAGUUUUUCUGAUGCUCUGGAUGAGAAAGAACAUGUUAGAUUAACAAAAAUCAACAGGAGAGGUAUCAAGAGAGUGAAAAGCUAACCAGAGUCGACAGCCUUGAUCUCUCUCAUGGUGGCAUCAGCAGACAUCAGUGGUUUGAUAAAGAACUGUGCAAACCUGGUUAGACAGACAAUCACAGAAAAAAAAAAUCCGACACUGCCAAAAGGCAGAUGAUCAGAUUACAUUAUUAGCUAGUAAGCGAGAGAGAGAGAGAAAAAAAAAGCAAGUGGACCUGUCCAAAGCUUCGUCAAAAGAAUCUGUGUGGACAUUGAAAUGGUAGUUUGUAUUUUCGAUGGCUGUAUAAGCAUUUGAGCUCCCUCCAUGCUACAAAAAAGAUAAAAACAGAGCAGUCCAGUUUUUUGUUCUCUCCCUAGCCUCUUGAUAUAAAUUGCAUGGAUGCAAGAGGUAACAUCAGUUUAUGUACUCAAGUUUGUAGUCCAUAGCAGGAGAAGAAGAUUACCUCAGUGACAUACUUGAACAAACCAUUUUCCUCAGGGAAUUUUUCACUUGCAUAAAAUAGCAUAUGCUCUGUUUCCACCGAAAAGUUAAAAAUAAGUGACUCUCGUCUCUCCUGUAAACUAAAUCUUAGAAGAAGAUAAAAGAAGAGUACCAAGGAAAUGAGCUAAGCCUUCCAAGCCUUCAGGGUCGGAGAAAGAUCCAACGCUAACGUUCAUCGAAGCAGCACACUAAGAUAAAGAGAGCACCGAUACAAAAUUAAUCUCUAGACUUUUGUUUCGUUAGUGUAUCGGUAAAAGCAGAAAACAUGGUUGAAUCGUCUAGAGCAUACCUUGUCAGUCUCUGGAUCGCUGAUCAACAACACUUGCAGCGAAUUCUUAAGUACAAUCUUCCGAUACUCUCUCUCGUCAGUGCGUGCCUUGAGUAUCUCUCCAUCCGCCGUGGCCAUCACCUUCCGAUUACUUUGUGAUAGUUGUAGACUUUUUACUAUUAGUCUUUCUUCGCUCUUAUAAAUGGUCUGUCUAACGUCUUUCUCUUUUUAUUUCCGAGAACAAGUAAUAUCUAAAUGUCUGCUACAGCCUACGUCUCACUGAUUAUAUAUCAACGGUGUAUGUUUACCCAAAGUACUAAGAUCCAACGGCGAUUACUUGUGAUGGUUAGUAUUAUGUUAUGUUCAACGUCUUUCCUUUUGUCUCUAGUUUAGUAGUGUCAUUAUCCACUGUGUGGUUGGUUAGAGUCUACGUCUAAUUAUUUUCAGCGGUGUAUUUUCUUCCAAUUAAUAAGGGUUCCAAGGGGCAACAAAACUUGAACACAUUUGGUUAAUGCCAAGUUGCCCAACUCCAUCGUUGCUUACUUUUAUUUUAUUUUAUUUUUGUUAAAAUUUUAUAUAAUAGGGACCUAAUAAAGAGUAGUUGAAUUUUAUUACCAUGAAAAAUGAAUAUGCUAUAAAUACUUAUAUUGAAUAACUAUGUCAUCAAUUUUCAUCACAUAAUUUUGUUAUUUUGUAUAUAUGACACCAGUUAAGUUUCAUCUUUAUUACUAUAUUAUUCCAUGACUUUUGUAUCUACAUGUUAGCUAUUUAAAUAUGACAUGUCUGUUUGUUGUAUAUCUCUCUCAAAAGAGUUAGGUACCUCCUCAAAGUUUCAACGACCCGUAAAGAGGUUNNNNNNNNNNNNNNNNNNNNNNNNNNNNNNNNNNNNNNNNNNNNNNNNNNNNNNNNNNNNNNNNNNNNNNNNNNNNNNNNNNNNNNUGGUUUCCGUAUACACAUAUGCUCAGCGAUUUCUUCUUUGGUGCUUCAACCUUUAUGUAUUCAUUAAAGAAAUCUAUCAAUUCUUCCUUCUUUAGCUCUCUCAGUGCAGCCACCUAACCAUAAAGCAAACCCCAACUUAUUCGAUACAUCGCUUGUAUUAAAACUUGUUCGUAGAAGACUCGUGAUGAAAAUACAAGGUUCUUAAUAUUGGUAAGAAGUUGGAAAGGAAGA